GGGAACGUAGUCUAGCUUGGUAUGAUACUUGGUUCGGAACCAAGUGAUCCUGAGUUCAAAUCUCAGCGUUCCCA
rnacentral:tRNA from 1 species